UAAGGAAUAUUGGACAAUGGAGGCAACUCUGAUCCAGCCAUGCCGCGUGAAGGAAUAAGGCCCUAUGGGUUGUAAACUUCUUUUAGACGGGACAAAACCCCUUUACGUGUAAAGGGUUGAUGGUACUGUCAGAAUAAGCAUCGGCUAACUUCGUGCCAGCAGCCGCGGUAAUACGAAGGAUGCAAGCGUUAUCCGGAAUUAUUGGGUUUAAAGGGUGCGUAGGCGGACUAAUAAGGCAGUGGUGAAAGCCUGCAGCUUAACUGCAGAAUUGCCAUUGAUACUGUUAGUCUGGAGUACAGUUGAGGUUGGCGGAAUGUGUCAUGUGGCGGUGAAAUGCUUAGAUAUGACACAGAACACCGAUUGCGAAGGCAGCUUGCUAAGCUGUAACUGACGCUGAGGCACGAAAGCGUGGGGAGCAAACA
rnacentral:rRNA from 1 species